AAGAGUUUGAUCAUGGCUCAGAUUGAACGCUGGCGGCAGGCCUAACACAUGCAAGUCGAACGGUAACAGGAAGCAGCUUGCUGCUUUGCUGACGAGUGGCGGACGGGUGAGUAAUGUCUGGGAAACUGCCUGAUGGAGGGGGAUAACUACUGGAAACGGUGGCUAAUACCGCAUAACGUCGCAAGACCAAAGAGGGGGACCUUCGGGCCUCUUGCCAUCAGAUGUGCCCAGAUGGGAUUAGCUUGUUGGUGAGGUAACGGCUCACCAAGGCGACGAUCCCUAGCUGGUCUGAGAGGAUGACCAGCCACACUGGAACUGAGACACGGUCCAGACUCCUACGGGAGGCAGCAGUGGGGAAUAUUGCACAAUGGGCGCAAGCCUGAUGCAGCCAUGCCGCGUGUAUGAAGAAGGCCUUCGGGUUGUAAAGUACUUUCAGCGGGGAGGAAGGUGUUGUGGUUAAUAACCGCAGCAAUUGACGUUACCCGCAGAAGAAGCACCGGCUAACUCCGUGCCAGCAGCCGCGGUAAUACGGAGGGUGCAAGCGUUAAUCGGAAUUACUGGGCGUAAAGCGCACGCAGGCGGUCUGUCAAGUCGGAUGUGAAAUCCCCGGGCUCAACCUGGGAACUGCAUUCGAAACUGGCAGGCUUGAGUCUUGUAGAGGGGGGUAGAAUUCCAGGUGUAGCGGUGAAAUGCGUAGAGAUCUGGAGGAAUACCGGUGGCGAAGGCGGCCCCCUGGACAAAGACUGACGCUCAGGUGCGAAAGCGUGGGGAGCAAACAGGAUUAGAUACCCUGGUAGUCCACGCCGUAAACGAUGUCUACUUGGAGGUUGUGCCCUUGAGGCGUGGCUUCCGGAGCUAACGCGUUAAGUAGACCGCCUGGGGAGUACGGCCGCAAGGUUAAAACUCAAAUGAAUUGACGGGGGCCCGCACAAGCGGUGGAGCAUGUGGUUUAAUUCGAUGCAACGCGAAGAACCUUACCUGGUCUUGACAUCCACG
rnacentral:rRNA from 1 species